rnacentral:rRNA from 1 species
GAUGAACGCUGGCGGCGUGCCUAAUACAUGCAAGUCGAGCGAACGGACGAGAAGCUUGCUUCUCUGAUGUUAGCGGCGGACGGGUGAGUAACACGUGGAUAACCUACCUAUAAGACUGGGAUAACUUCGGGAAACCGGAGCUAAUACCGGAUAAUAUUUUGAACCGCAUGGUUCAAAAGUGAAAGACGGUCUUGCUGUCACUUAUAGAUGGAUCCGCGCUGCAUUAGCUAGUUGGUAAGGUAACGGCUUACCAAGGCAACGAUGCAUAGCCGACCUGAGAGGGUACGCGGCCACACUGGAACUGAGACACGGUCCAGACUCCUACGGGAGGCAGCAGUAGGGAAUCUUCCGCAAUGGGCGAAAGCCUGACGGAGCAACGCCGCGUGAGUGAUGAAGGUCUUCGGAUCGUAAAACUCUGUUAUUAGGGAAGAACAUAUGUGUAAGUAACUGUGCACAUCUUGACGGUACCUAAUCAGAAAGCCACGGCUAACUACGUG